rnacentral:lncRNA from 1 species
UCUCAGCUUUUACCUUAUUCUUGCUACCAUUUCUUUUUCUUUCCUUCAAAACUGUUAAAAACAAAAACAAACAAACACAGAAACUGUACGAAUCUGAGCCAGGGACAUGGUUAAAAUGCAGCCGUAAGGACUAGAGUUCAGAUCCACACUCAGAAUGUCAGGAGGUGUGUGGCCUGCUUCAGAAGGUGGAGAUGGGGUCCCUGGGCAAGCCGGCCAGCAAGAGUAGACAUAUCUGAGCUCUGGGUUGAGAGAUCCUGCCUCAAGGAGAACGUAAAGGUGAAGAUUCUCAACAUUAACCCAGGAAAGCCAUGUUGGGCACGGGGGCACACAUGCUGGUGUGUCCACACACAGGCACACAUGCACAGCACACACACAUACACACAUGCACAUUAUACACUCAUGCACACAUGCACAGCACACACACACAUACACACAUGCACAGCACACACUCAUACACACAUGCACAGCACACACACAUACAUGCACAGCACACACUCAUGCACACAUGCACAGCACACACACUCAUACACACAUG